AUUGAACGCUGGCGGCAUGCCUUACACAUGCAAGUCGAACGGCAGCACGGGUGCUUGCACCUGGUGGCGAGUGGCGAACGGGUGAGUAAUACAUCGGAACAUGUCCUGUAGUGGGGGAUAGCCCGGCGAAAGCCGGAUUAAUACCGCAUACGAUCUACGGAUGAAAGCGGGGGACCUUCGGGCCUCGCGCUAUAGGGUUGGCCGAUGGCUGAUUAGCUAGUUGGUGGGGUAAAGGCCUACCAAGGCGACGAUCAGUAGCUGGUCUGAGAGGACGACCAGCCACGGGGGGUGAGAGACCGGGCCGAGACCCCUGGGGGGGGAGGCGGGGGGGAUUUUGGGAAAAGGGGGAAAUGCGUGACCAAGAAUGGCCGGGUGUGGGAAGAAGCCUUGGGGUUGAAAAAGCGUUUUUGCCGGGAAAGAAAUCUUGGGUUUUAACAAGGGGGGGGGAGGACGGUACGGAAAAAAUAAGCCCGGGCUAACUCCGUG
rnacentral:rRNA from 1 species